rnacentral:lncRNA from 7 species
UUUUCUCUUUGAAAUCUCUGUUUUAAACCUGAAAAUCAUGCAUAUUCUCUACAAAACUUGCUGUUUAAACCAAAAAUUGCGCGUUUUCUCUUCAACAAUCCCCCGUUUAACCCCAAAACCUCACCUUUUCUCUUGGAAAAUACGCAUUUACCCCCAAAUCAUGCAUUUUCUCUCCAAAAAUACCCCAUUAACCCCAAAAGCACACAUUUUCUCCUCAGAAAUCCCCCUUUUAACCCCCAAAUCACACAUUUUCUCUUGGAAAAUCCCCCAUUUACCCCAAAAUCAUGCUUUAUCUCUUCAAAAAUACCCCAUUAUCCCCAAAUCACACAUCUUCUCUAGGAAAAUCCCCAUUUAACUCGGAAAUCACACUUUUGCUCUUCAAAUAUCCCCCAUUUGACCCCAAAAUCAAACAUUUUUGCUACAAGAAUCCCCCAUGUAUCCAAAAAAUCACGCGUUUCCUCUACAAAAAUCUCACAUGUAAACGAAACUCAUGCAUUUCCUCUUCAAAAUC